GACGAACGCUGGCGGCGUGCCUAAUACAUGCAAGUUGAGCGAUGAAGUUUGGUGCUUGCACCAAUUUGAAGAGCAGCGAACGGGUGAGUAACGCGUGGGGAAUCUGCCUUUGAGCGGGGGACAACAUUUGGAAACGAAUGCUAAUACCGCAUAACAACUUUAAACAUAAGUUUUAAGUUUGAAAGAUGCAAUUGCAUCACUCAAAGAUGAUCCCGCGUUGUAUUAGCUAGUUGGUGAGGUAAAGGCUCACCAAGGCGAUGAUACAUAGCCGACCUGAGAGGGUGAUCGGCCACAUUGGGACUGAGACACGGCCCAAACUCCUACGGGAGGCAGCAGUAGGGAAUCUUCGGCAAUGGACGAAAGUCUGACCGAGCAACGCCGCGUGAGUGAAGAAGGUUUUCGGAUCGUAAAACUCUGUUGGUAGAGAAGAACGUUGGUGAGAGUGGAAAGCUCAUCAAGUGACGGUAACUACCCAGAAAGGGACGGCUAACUACGUG
rnacentral:rRNA from 1 species